UCAAGCGAACAAGGGCGCAGGGCGAAUGCCUUGGCACUGGGAGCCGAUGAAAGACGUGAUAAGCUGCGAUAAGCUUCGGGGAGCUGCAAAUAAGCAUUGAUCCGGAGAUUUCUGAAUGAGGAAACUCACCUGGGUUCAUACUCAGGUACGUUAUACUGAACUUCAAAAUAGGUAUAUCGAGGGAACCGCCUGAACUGAAACAUCUAAGUAGGGCGAGGAAGAGACAUCAAACGAGAUUCCGUAAGUAGUGGCGAGCGAACGCGGAAGAGGGCAAACCGAGAGUAGAAAUACUUUCGGGGUACGGACUGCUUUUAAGACUUAAUCUGUUAACCGAACGGCAUGGGAAGGCCGGUCAGAGAGUGUGAGAACCACGUAGGUGAAAACGGAGAGAGCUGCGCAGGAUCCAGAGUACGGCCAGACACGUGAAACCUGGUCGGAAUACGGGGGGACCACCCUCCAACCCUAAAUACUACCCAGUGACCGAUAGCGUAUAGUACUGUGAAGGAAAGGUGAAAAGCACCCCGGGAGGGGAGUGAAAAAGAACCUGAAACCCUGUGCCUACAAGCACCUAGAGCACGUCAAAGUGUGAUAGGGUACUUUUUGUAGAACGGUCCGGCGAGCGAUUGUAUGCAGCAAGGUUAAGGACUUAAGGUCUGGAGCCGAAGCGAAAGCGAGUUUGAAAAGGGCGUUAAGUUGCAUAUAAUGGGCCCGAAACCGGGUGACCUACCCAUGGUCAGGUUGAAGUGGAAGUAAAAUUCCAUGGAGGACCGAACCGACCUCCGUUGAAAAGGCGGCGGAUGAACUGUGGGUAGCGGAGAAAUUCCAAUCGAACCCGGAGAUAGCUGGUUCUCCCCGAAAUAGUUUUAGGACUAGCCUCAAGUUAGAUACCUGGAGGUAAAGCACUGAAUAGCCUAGCGGCCGAGAGGUUAGCGAAGCUUAUCAAACUCAGAAUGCCAGAGUAUUGAUGCUUGGGAGUCAGACAGUGUCAGAUAAAUGUCAUUGUCAAAAGGGAAACAGCCCAGAUCUACAGCUAAGGUCCCAAAGUCAGGUUAAGUGGAAAACGAUGUGAAGAUACGCAGACAACCAGGAUGUUGGCUCAGAAGCAGCCACUCAUUCAAAGAGUGCGUAAUAGCUCACUGGUCGAGCGUCUUUGCGCGGAGAAUUUAACGGGGCUAAACCUGACACCGAAGCUUAGGCAAUACAGCAAUGUAUUGGGUAGGGGAGCGUUGUAUACGCGGAGAAACAGUAGCGCAAGCGGCUGUGGAGUGUAUAGAAGUGAGAAUGCCGGAAUGAGUAGCGCGAAUGCAGUGAGAAUCUGCAUGGCCGAAAGCCUCAGGUUUCUGGAGGAAGGUUCGUCCGCUCCAGGUUAGUCGGGAGCUAAGGUGAGGCCUAACGGCGUAGCCGAUGCACAGACGGUAGAGAUUCCGUCACCACCAAAAGAGUUAAACACAGGGACACAUAUGAAGUCUCAGAGCCGGGUGUUGGUUCCGGUAGAGAUCGAGGGAAGUUAGUACCGAAGUCUGAGAUGGAAGAUGGCGAGAAAAGCUGUGUGUAUUUCUGCGGUGCCCGUACCGCAAACCGACACAGGUAGGUAGGAAGAAGAUUCUAAGGCCAACGGGAGAAGGGUUGUUAAGGAACUCGGCAAAUUGACCCCGUAACUUCGGGAGAAGGGGUGCUCCAGAGAUGGAGCCGCAGAGAAUCGGCCCAAGCAACUGUUUACCAAAAACACAGGUUUGUGCUAAAUCGAAAGAUGACGUAUACGAGCUGACGCCUGCCCGGUGCUGGAAGGUUAAGAGGAGAUGUGCAAGCAUUGAAUCGAAGCCCCAGUGAACGGCGGCCGUAACUAUAACGGUCCUAAGGUAGCGAAAUUCCUUGUCAGGUAAGUUCUGACCCGCAUGAAAGGCGUAAUGAUUUGGGCACUGUCUCAACAGCCCGCCCGGCGAAAUUGUAGUACCGGUGAAGAUGCCGGUUACCCGCGACAAGACGGAAAGACCCCAUGGAGCUUUACUGUAGCCUAAUAUUGGGUUUCGAUGUUGCAUGCACAGGAUAGAUGGGACACUGGGAAGCAGGUGCUUUGGCGCUUGUGGAGUGGCCGUUGGGAUACCAUCCUUGCGAUAUUGGAAUUCUAACCUGCGCCUUUGAAUCAAGGCGGGGGACAUUGUUAGGUGGGCAGUUUGACUGGGGCGGUCGCCUCCUAAAGAGUAACGGAGGCGUUCAAAGGUUCGCUCAGCUUGAACGGAAAUCAAGCAAAAGAGUGCAAACGCAGAAGCGAGCCUAACUGCGAGACUGACGGGUCGAGCAGUAACGAAAGUUGGAGUUAGUGAUCCGGUGGUAUGUGAGUGGAAAUGCCAUCGCUCAACGGAUAAAAGUUACCCUGGGGAUAACAGGCUGAUCUCCCCCAAGAGUCCACAUCGACGGGGAGGUUUGGCACCUCGAUGUCGGCUCAUCGCAUCCUGGGGCUGUAUUCGGUCCCAAGGGUUUGGCUGUUCGCCAAUUAAAGCGGUACGCGAGCUGGGUUCAGAACGUCGUGAGACAGUUCGGUCCCUAUCCGGCGCGGGCGGAGGAUAUUUGAGAGGAGCUGUCCUUAGUACGAGAGGACCGGGAUGGACGGACCACUGGUGUAUCUGUUGUCGACCAACGGCAUGGCAGAGUAGCCAAGUCCGGAAGGGAUAAACGCUGAAGGCAUCUAAGCGUGAAGCCCCCCUCAAGAUGAGAUAUCCCAUAACGUAAGUUAGUAAGACCCCUUGAAGACGACGAGGUAGAUAGGGCAGAGGUGGAAGUGUGGUAACACAUGGAGCUGACUGUUACUAAUAGGUCGAGGGCUUAAUCUG
rnacentral:rRNA from 1 species